rnacentral:snRNA from 1 species
GUGCUUAUUUUGGCACAUAUAUACUAAAACCAGAACAAUACAGAGAUUAGCAUGGCCCCUGCACAAGGAUGACAAGAAAAUUCCUAUUUUU